rnacentral:rRNA from 1 species
CCCUUAGAUGUCCGGGGCCGCACGCGCGCUACACUGAAGGAAUCAGCGUGGCUUUCUCCCUGACCCGAAAGGGUUGGGAAACCCGUUGAAUCUCCUUCGUGAUAGGGAUUGGGGCUUGAAAUUGUUCCCCAUGAACGAGGAAUUCCCAGUAAGCGCGAGUCAUAAGCUCGCGUUGAUUACGUCCCUGCCCUUUGUACACACCGCCCGUCGCUACUACCGAUUGAACGGUUUAGUGAGAAUUUUGGACUGGAACUCCCUUGCUCAGCAAUGGGCGAGGGGGAGUCCGGGAAGCUAUUCUAACUGUAUCAUUUAGAGGAAGUAAAAGUCGUAACA